CACGAGCUUCUUAGAUCCAUCUUUGGGAUGUAUCUGUUCUGCCUUGCUGGUAGAUCUCUCCUGGUGUUGGAUUCUCCAGUGUGCUGGCAUGUGACAUUCAUCAGCUGUAGAGGUUGUACAGUCAAAGGUGCUUGAAUCAUUGGCAUGUUGGAAUAAUAUACCUGCACAGUAGCCCCCCUGUGCUGAUGUGAAUGACCUGUUACUCCAGGCUGUUUUCUGCCAUCAGGACUAUGCUGAUGUGUGGACAAG